rnacentral:rRNA from 1 species
AGCCAGACUCCUACGGGAGGCAGCAGUGGGGAAUAUUACACGAUGGGGGGAACCCUGAUGCAGCGACGCCGCGUGAGUGAAGAAGUAUUUCGGUAUGUAAAGCUCUAUCAGCAGGGAAGAAAAUGACGGUACCUGACUAAGAAGCCCCGGCUAACUACGUGCCAGCAGCCGCGGUAAUACGUAGGGGGCGAGCGUUAUCCGGAUUUAUUGGGUGUAAAGGGCGUGUAGGCGGGAGCGCAAGUCAGAUGUGAAAACUCAGGGCUCAACCCUGAGCCUGCAUUUGAAACUGUGUUUCUUGAGUGCUGGAGAGGCAAUCGGAAUUCCGUGUGUAGCGGUGAAAUGCGUAGAUAUAAGGAAGAACACCAGUGGCGAAGGCGGAUUACUGGACGAUAACUGACGGUGAGGCGCGAAAGCGUGGGGAGCAAACAGGAUUAGAUACCCUCGUAC